UGAUCCUGCCCCACACCUCAAGGCCUGGGGCCUGUGGACACUGGGACAGGCCGGAUGGGAAGAAACUCAAGCUUUGGAUUAGGAAACAGUGGGGGUCACCAUACCAUGAUGCAGACGUUGGCCUGUUCCGUCUUCUGAGAUAAGGGACCACCAAAAGCAAAGGACGUCAGCAAUCUUGGAAUAUUUUUUACAUGGGAUCAGCCCUGCUUUGAUAGAACAAGGCUUUCCUGUUCCAUGGAAAUGUUUGUGCUGCCAGGAAUCCAGCAGAAGAGAGAGAGGCCACUUCAUGGGAAACUGAAGCUGGGUUCCCAGGAUCUGGAGGUUUCCUGGACAGAGCUCAGCUGUGCGCUGAGGAUUUUCUGCUCAACAGAAAGCUAUACAGGGGUCAGAGUGAAGGGUGUUCUUUGAUAUGGGAUAGACCUCUAGGGUGGCAGAGAGAGAGACACUUGGUCCCACCCUCUCAUUAUACAGAAAGGAAUGUGAGAUUCAGAGAGGGGAAGUGACCUGCCCAAGGUCACACAGAAGGCAGUGGCCAAGGCAGGACUUGACCCCAAGACUCCUGAGCCCUUCCCACCCAGAGUACCCUCACCAUUCUCCAGGGCUCUCCCCCAACAGUGCUCCUGGAUUUUCCUCAGUUUGGUCAACCAGGAUAGCAACUAUUUCAACCCUUUCCCAACUUCCUGCAUCACCAGGUUUUGAAAUCAUCCCUGUGUUUUCCAAGAAUAACAUAUUUUUCUCUCUUUUCUUCUACUCAUCUGAAGAAAUCUGAGAACCCUUUCUAAUUGUUUGGACAAGACGGCAGACAGGCAAUCAUGACACAAUCAUGAUCUCGAGGCCCAAGAACCUGAGGCUAUCACUGGCCUGGAGAAUGAUGGGGCAUCAGGCGUGUCACUGGUGCUUCGUCAUAAGCCCUGAGUUCUAGGGAACAUGGGGUGUUUGCCAAGUUCCCCAGAUCCCUGAUGUUGGACCCCCAUCAGGAAAAAUUGAGGGAGUCUACAUUGAGCUGCCCUUGGCCAGAGCUUUAGUGGCUAUGAGUGCCGAUCGAGUCCAUGGGCAGUUGGUGGCUGUACAACAUGCCAAAGUGGGUCCCUACAGCCUAGACUACAUUGUCUAGCCUCCCUUGCAGCUAGCGGUGACUGUGUGACUAAGUUCUGGCCAAAGGGAUAUAAGCACAACUUAAGUAAAGAAAGAGGCAUUCCCUUCUUUGCCUCUCCCUUCCUCUUACUCACUACAUGGUACCAUUUUUCCUUGAAAAUAAGACCAGGUCUUUUAUUAGUUUUUGCUCCAAAGAUGCAGUAGGGCUUAUGUUCAGGGGAUGUCCUCCUAAAAAAUCAUGCUAGGGCUUAUUUUCCAGUUAGGUCUUAUUUUUGGGGAAACACAGUAGACGUGAUGGCUGGAGUUUCAGCAGCCAUUUUGGGCCAUGAGGCAACUCCAGCAAUAGAAGCCAACUGAAAAACAAGAUAGGAGAAACCUGGGCCCUGACCUCAGGGUACCUCACACAAGUCAGAAAUAAAUUUCCAUCUUCUUAAAGCAUGAUCACUUGGGGUCUCCUUUUACUUGUGGCCAAUAUUAUUCCUAAGUAAUACACCAUCUUUUGAUUGGGGAUGAGUCAUUUGCAGAGGGGCUGUAGUAGACCUGUCAUGUGUGAGAUUAUUAUGAUGCAUAAUAAUAAUUGUGACGCUUAGCAGUGUGUAUGUAUAAAACCCUUAGCCCAAUGCAUCGCACAGA